UCCUCCCACACGAACCCUACCCGCCUCCACGGUCGCGCAUCCUCCCGUGUCAAUCGCGACCACCUCCCGUGUCUUGUCCAAACCUCCUUGGCGGGCUUGGAGGAGGCGUGCAGGCAAAGGGCGACGGUGGCGGCGCUCGAUUCGUUCUGUAGGAAGAGAGAAGAUGAGAGGGAGAGAGAGAGAGAGGGGAAAGAGGAGAGGGAGGCGUCGCGUCGGACGGGAGAGGGUCACCGGCCGGCGAGGUCGGGCUCGACCUUGUGGUUGGUGGCGGCUCGAUCUGCUCCGAUCCUGGAUCGGGACCUACGAGGAGGCUGGGGCACGUUUUCUAACCUGCAGCGGACUGUACAGCUAGCGGGAGCGCCGGUCCAGGUCAUGGGCACAGCUCGGUCGAGCUACAGCGAGUGCACCUAAUUCCAACACAUCAAGGUGAGCUUCAAACGUCGUUCCCUCUUUUAUUCUUCUCAGGCAACGAGGGGUCAGUGGAAAGGCAAUGUGUUUGAUAUGUGGAGUUGGUGUUGAGGCUGGCGGUAGUAGACAGGGAAGACGCCCGUCGCUUGAUCUUGAGAGUUAAUUCAUAUCACUUUUUUUCUUCAAAGUGUGAGGACAUUUUUUAGAUUCUUGUUUUAUUGGUGUGUUUUGUUCUUACUGAUAAGUGGCAAGAAAGAAAAAACCUGCUUCAAUUAUAGAAAGUGUUGUAAGAAAAUUAUGAGAAUGGAAUAUGGACUGCAUAUAUACCUACUAUGAUGCAACUGUUUUGCAUUCGGGGAUUGGAUUACAAAUUCCUCAUGUUUGUGUACACUGAUUUCUCAAAAGUAUUAUGUGCUGCACAUGUUUUUAUUUCUUUUGGACUAAUUUAGAGCAAGGUAGGUGUGAAGGCUGCCGAUCAAGGCUCAACUCAAGCAAAACUUGACUUCUUGAUUUUUUUUUGUCGAUGUAGCAUCUGAGACGGACUUACUUCUUUACCCAGUUCUACUCUGUAAUUUCAGAAUAUAUGUUGUCAUGUGUUUGUCAUGUGCUUGCUUCAGCUUUCGGUGUCCGGAUGACUAUAUAUGAACAAGACUUGCCAGGUCCGGAUGACUAUAUGAGCAAAACUUGAUUUCUUAUUGUUUUGUCGAUGUAGCAUGUGAGACUGACCGACUUCUCUACCAGAAAACAAGCCUUUUGACCUUCUUAUUAUGCAUGCAGGUUGAAGAUACUUAGGUUAUCACGUUCUCCUGCAAACUGAAUUAAUUCCUCUAAAUAUUAUCACAAUCUUUCUUUUCUGUUUAGCCUAACAAAUGUCAAAUUGUGUCUUUUCAAAAAGUAAAUUUUGCUGUCUGAAGUUUGUUUGGAACACUAUAUUACGAAUUUACUAUCAGUUCACAGGUUCUUGAUUAUCUAUAGCCUACUCUGCCACGCAGUGAUCCAACCAUUUUUUACUCAGGUUGUCGUUUGCUCAUUGCUGUCCUGGCUGUGCUUCUUCCUUCUGGUUAGACGAACUGCUUUGUUCCUAGACCUGCAGCUCGUUUUUGCUCCUCAAGAGCUGGUCUCCACGCCUUCAUUAGAGCUCGUGUCCACGGCUUCAGCAGAGCUAAUGCUCACAGGAUCAUUCAUGCGAGCUCCCUCCGUGGAGGAAACCUAAAACAACAUAGAUUUUCAGUCAGCACAGACUAAUAAGUCACAUUACUGUAACGGUGUGUAAAUAUGCCAGAGGUUUUGAAUGGGGCUUUAUACCACCAAAUUAGAAUGUGUAUAUAUAUCUCAUUGUACACAACAAGACACAAGUUUUUUUUACUAAAGGAGAUUAUGUUUAUUAUGA